rnacentral:rRNA from 1 species
GAGCGAACAGGAUUAGAUACCCUGGUAGUCCACGCCGUAAACGGUGGAUGCUGGAUGUGGGGCCCGUUCCACGGGUUCCGUGUCGGAGCUAACGCGUUAAGCAUCCCGCCUGGGGAGUACGGCCGCAAGGCUAAAACUCAAAGAAAUUGACGGGGGCCCGCACAAGCGGCGGAGCAUGCGGAUUAAUUCGAUGCAACGCGAAGAACCUUACCUGGGCUUGACAUGUUCCCGACGAUCCCAGAGAUGGGGUUUCCCUUCGGGGCGGGUUCACAGGUGGUGCAUGGUCGUCGUCAGCUCGUGUCGUGAGAUGUUGGGUUAAGUCCCGCAACGAGCGCAACCCUCGCCCCGUGUUGCCAGCGGAUUAUGCCGGGAACUCACGGGGGACCGCCGGGGUUAACUCGGAGGAAGGUGGGGAUGACGUCAGAUCAUCAUGCCCCUUACGUCCAGGGCUUCACGCAUGCUACAAUGGCCGGUACAACGGGAUGCGACAGUGCGAGCUGGAGCGGAUCCCUGAAAACCGGUCUCAGUUCGGAUCGCAGUCUGCAACUCGACUGCGUGAAGGCGGAGUCGCUAGUAAUCGCGAAUCAGCAACGUCGCGGUGAAUGCGUUCCCGGGCCUUGUACACACCGCCCGUCAAGUCAUGAAAGUGGGCAGCACCCGAAGCCGGUGGCCUAACCCCUUGCGGGAGGGAGCCGUCUAAGGUGAGGCUCGUGAUUGGGACUAAGUCGUAACAAGGUAGCCGUACCGGAAGGUGCGGCUG